rnacentral:tRNA from 1 species
GGUAAAAUGGCCGAACUUAAGCGAAGAAUUGUAAAUUCUUUUAUGAGGUUUUCCUCUUUUAUCA